CACAUCACUGGUUCUCGUCCGAUCACCGAACUUAAGCAACGUCGAGCCUUGUCAGUACAUAGAUGGGUGGCCGCUUAGAAAUACCAGGUGCUGUAAG